UACGUAGGGGGCAAGCGUUGUCCGGAUUUAUUGGGCGUAAAGAGCUCGUAGGCGGUUGGGCAAGUCACGUGUGAAAUCUCCACGCUCAACGUGGAGGCGCCACGUGAGACUGCCCUGACUCGAGUCCGGUAGGGGAGCGUGGAAUUCCCGGUGUAGCGGUGAAAUGCGCAGAGAUCGGGAGGAACACCCGUAGCGAAGGCGGGUCUCUGGGCCGAUACUGACGCUGAGGAGCGAAAGCGUGGGGAGCGAACAGG
rnacentral:rRNA from 1 species